AUUGACUGGGUUGUAGCUGGCCUUCCGAGGCAUGUGCACGCCCUGCUCAUCCACUCUACACCUGUGGACUUACUGUGGGUUUACGGGUCGUGAAACAGGCUCCUUUAUUCGGGCUUGUCGAGCACACUUGUUGCCUGCUGUUAUCACAAACUCCAUAAACUAUCAAAAUGUGUAUUGAAAUGUAACACAUCUAUAUACAACUUUCAUCAACGGAUCUCUUGGCUCUCUCAUCGAUCAAGAACGCAUCAAAAUGCGAUAAGUAAGGUGAAUUGCAUAAUUCAUGGAAUCAUCAAAUCUUUGAACGCUCCUUGCGCUCCUUGUGAUUCCCAGGAGCAUGCCUGUAUGAGUGUCGUGAAAUCGUCAAUCUACCAACUUCUUACGGGGCUUGCAUGCUUGGAGUUGGAGGCUUGUCAGUCCCUUUACAGGGUCAGCUCCUCUUAAAUGCAUUAUCUUGGUUCCUUGCGGAUCGGCUUGUCGGGGUGAUAAUGUCGACGCCGCGACCGUGAAGCGUGCUCGGGCGAGCUUCUAGUGGUCUCGUUACAGAGACAACCUUUAUGACCUCUGACCUCAUAUCAGGUAGGACUACC
rnacentral:rRNA from 1 species